rnacentral:lncRNA from 1 species
AUGCAGUUAUUAACAUCUUUGCUCCAUCAGCGGUCUGUCAACUCAUUCACGGCACUUUUGAUUUUGUCCAUUUUUUUUGGUAUUUUAUCUCUUAUCAUCAUCAUCAUCAUCAUCAUCAUCAUCAUCAUCAUCAUCAUCAUCAUCAUCACCACCAUCAUCACCACCACCAUCAUCAUCACCACCAUCAUCACCAUCAUCAUCAUCAUCAUCAUCACCAUCCCCUUCAUCACCAUCACCACCAUCACCAUCCCCUUCAUCACCAUCACCACCAUCAUCAUCAUCACCAUCAUCACCACCAUCACCAUCCCCUUCAUCACCAUCAUCACCACCAUCACCACCAUCACCAUCAUCACCACCAUCACCACCAUCACCACCAUCACCAUCCCCUUCAUCACCAUCACCACCAUCAUCAUCAUCACCACCAUCACCACCAUCACCAUCAUCACCAUCACCAUCACCAUCAUCACCAUCACCAUCAUCAUCAUCAUCACCAUCAUCAUCACCACCAUCACCAUCACCACCAUCAUCACCAUCAUCACCACCAUCACCACCAUCACCAUCACCAUCAUCAUCACCAUCAUCAUCAUCACCAUCACCAUCACCAUCACCAUCACCACCAUCACCAUCACCAUCAUCACCACCAUCAUCACCAUCACCACCAUCACCAUCACCAUCACCACCAUCAUCAUCAUCAUCAUCACCAUCACCAUCAUCACCACCAUCACCACCAUCACCACCAUCAUCACCAUCAUCACCACCAUCACCAUCAUCACCCACCAUCAUCACCAUCAUCACCAUCACCAUCACCAUCAUCACCACCAUCAUCACCAUCAUCACCACCAUCACCAUCAUCAUCACCAUCAUCAUCAUCAUCACCAUCAUCACCAUCAUCACCACCAUCACCAUCAUCAUCACCAUCAUCAUCAUCACCAUCACCAUCACCCAUCAUCACCACCAUCAUCACCACCAUCACCAUCACCAUCAUCACCACCAUCACCAGUGGUAGCGGUAGCGGUAGCAUUAGCCACAAACUGCUAUUCACAGUUAUGGUGA